ensembl:miRNA mir-5595 miscRNA
UCUCUUUUUUCUCGCAUGCCAUCUCAAAACAUCGAUGGCGAGAGAGCGUGUGGAGAAGAGAGACG